AAAACCCGCCCCACAACUCUUUCUCUCUCUCUUAACCCUCUUCUGCUCUCCUCUCCUCUCCUCUCAUCUCAAAUUCUCAACCCUAACUCCUACCACUCUCUCCCUUCUCAUCAAGAAAUUUUGAGAUCUACUCCCACUCUCGAAGAUUAUCGCUCAAUUUUAAGAAAUACGACAAAUUGAAAACGAAAUUCAAAGACUUUGAGGAUCGGCAGACGCGACCACCGCUGCAAAGUUGUUCGUGUAAAUUGAGAUCCAAGGUACUUCAACUCUGUUGAUGCUCAUGAAAGUGAGAAACUUGGUGAAGAUCCUAAACGUAUCCCGAACAGCCUUAUGCCCUUACAUACAACAUGUUGUUGUCGGCAGACCGCCUGAGCUCAAUGUAUAAGCAUUGACUAUCCUACAAGGGAUAUACAGGGUUAUGUAGUAUGUUAUAUAUUGUUUCCAAAUACUGCUCUCACUGUUAAAUCCUUUGAUGUGUUAUGCCAAUUAAAAUAUAGUUCGCUUGUAAUUAAAAUAGCUUGUCUUGGUGAAUUAACUAAAGGAAAUACAGUCCUAGUUUUUUUGUGAUAUAGAAUUAGAUCACUUUGUAGUUGUAGUUUGGGUAAAAUAUUAAAUCAAUUUCUUGGAGUCUAUUUAUUGAGCGAGGAUUUAACUCGAUCUAAUUUAGAAACGAUAAUGCAAACAUGUAAUCACCUGCUUGAAAAGUAAACUCAACUUCAAAUUGUUCUAUCAGGUCCUAAAUGCUAAUUAGGUUAAUUUGGGAAUUUAUAUUUUGUUGGGGUUGUAACUACACACUGGGUAUAUUUAAUUGUUAAAGUGUGUUUGAUCUGUGUUUUUGUUUAUGAUAUAGGUUGAAAGAAAUGAUCUUUGAUAAUUUGCAUGCAAGACCUUUCCAGUACACUCCUCUAGGGAGAACCAUUGUUGGACCUCUUGAGAAUGUCAAGACUAUCAUUAAAACUCAUCUCUAUAAUGGUCAUUGCCGCCUCUGGAAUUGUUAAACACGCGGAUGUUGUAGCGCUUGUAGAAACUUUUUUUUACAAAGUUUUCAACAGAUCCAACCACCGUUGCUCAAUUAGUUGUCCAGGAACCAACCUCAUUCACUGGUUCGGAGAUUCGAUGAUUUCGCCUUGAUGGGUAUGCAGCCAAUGUUGAGCUUUCGGACCAAAAAGGCUGGUGGUGGAAAACAUAUGGGAUUGAUGAAACUGUCAAGUCAUUUCUUCAUGGUCAAAGGAAAUGCCUCGUGCAGCUACGAAGAUGACCAAGUGGUUCAACACCAACAGUUAUGGAGAAUCUUAUCAAUUUUGACAAUGCAUACUACAAAAUACUCCUUGAGAUAGAAUAAACGAUGCACUCGCUUUAGCUACAACUGAUAUCGGAAUUUCAUUUGGACUGUCAGGUUUUGCACUCGCAAUGGAUACAGGACACUAAUUCUAAAAGUCCAACGACCAUCAGAAAGAUACCAGAAGCCAUUCAGAUAUAUCCUAGAAAGCCUCUAGGACAAUUGUCGAAAAUGUAAUCAUAUCAUUCUCUACUAGUUCUAGAAUUAGCCCUUGUUGGCUAUGCUGUCAUUUGCCAGAUGAUGCCUGCUAGUAAUACUGGCAUGCUGCUUCUCCGGGGAACUAAAGAAUCCAAGAAGACAAUUGUUAUGAAUAAGGCCUGUUGUGAUAAAACUGUUAAGGAAGAAGUCAAGUGUCGUAGUUCAGUUAGCAAAAGAAUGAUGCAGUCGAGUAUUACAGAAAAGUCGAAAGAAGGGUUUAGGCAUUAGUUAUUUUUGGAUUGGUUUUAGGCUUUAGUUAUUUUUGUAUAGGAUUUAAGCUUUAGUUAGUACGGAAUAACUACUAUUUGUAUUUAUGAUGGUGUUGACAACAUUUCUUAUUUAGGGAUGUUAAAGGUAUAAUGUUUAAGAAGUUUUAUAAAAAUUUUGCACGUGCAGUUGCUUUUA